rnacentral:lncRNA from 1 species
UUUUUCUUUUUUUUUUUUUUGAAGUAUAGUUGAUUUACAAUGUUGUGUCAAUUUCUGCUGUACUGUAUAGUUACCCAGUCAUACAAAUAUAUACAUUCUUUUUCUCAUACUAUCUUCCAUCAUGUUCUACCUCAAGUUCCCUAUGCUAUACAGUAGGACCCCAUUGCUUAUCCAUUCUAAAUGUAAUAGUUUGCAUCUACCAACCCCAAAUUCCCAGACCAUCACACUUCCUCUCCACUGGCAACCAUGAGUCUGUUCUCCAUGUCCAUGAUCUGUUUGAUAGAUAGGAUCACUUGUGCCAUAUUUCAGAUUCCACAUAUAAUGGGAGAAAAUCUUUGCAAACAAUGCAACAGACAGUGGCCUAUUCUCCAAAAUAUACAAACAGCUCACAAAAUUCAAUAACAACAACAAAAAACCCAAUCAAAAAAUGGGUAGGAGACCUAAACAAACAUUUCUUCAAAAAAUAUAUUUGGUUGGCCAGCAGGCACAUGAAAAAAAUGUUCACAUCACAAAUUGCUAGAGAAAUGUAAAUCAAAAUUACAAUGAGGUACCAUUCAGAAUGGCCAUUAUUAAUAAGUCAACAAAUAACAAAUGCCAGAGAGGGUAUGGAGAAAAGGGAAUCCUCCUUCACUGUUGGUGGGAAUAUAAAUUGUUACAACCACUAUGGAAAUCAGUAUGGAAGUUCCUUGGAAGACUAAAUACAGAAAGAACUUACAAAUGAUUUGGCAACCCCACUCCUGGGUGUACAUCAGACAAAACUUUCAUUACAAAAGACAUGUGCACCCCUAUGUUCAUAGCAGCACUAUUCACAAUAGCCAAGACACAGAAACAACCUUAAAAUCCAUCAACAGAUGAACGGAUUAAGAAAAUGUGGUACAUGGAAUUCCCAUCGUGGCACAGUGGAAACGAAUCUAAGAACAAUGGGGUUGCUGGUUCGAUCCCUGGCCUUGCUCAGUGCGUUAAGGUCCAGUGUUGCCAUGAGCUGUAGGGCUCGCAGAUGUGGCUCGGAUCCCAAGUGGCUGUGGCUCUGGCGUAAGCCAGCAGCAACAGCUCUGAUUAGACCCCUAGUCUGGGAAGAUCCAUAUGACACAGGCGCAGCCAUAAAAGGCAAAAGACAGGAAAAAAAAAAGAAAUUGUGGUACAUAUAUAUAAUGGAAUACUACUCAGCCAUAAAAAGGACAAGAUGAUGCCAUUUUCAGCAACAUGGAUGGGACUAGAGAUUCUCAUAUUAAGUGAAGUAAAUCAGCAAGAGAAAGACAAAUACCAUAUGCCCCUGUUUUUUUUUUUUUUUUUUUUUUUUUGUCUUUGAUAUUUCUUUGGGCCACUCCCAUGGCAUAUGAAGGUUCCCAGGCUAGGGGUCCAAUCGGAGCUAUAGCCACCAGCCUACGCCAGAGCCACAGCAAUGCAGGAUCCGAGCC